UAGUGGAUUCUGACAUUUUGAUCGAGUA
rnacentral:sRNA from 1 species